rnacentral:RNase_P_RNA from 3 species
GGAGACAGACGGCCGCGCGGCUGCGCCCACCUGGGCACAGACCGUGAGGAAAGUCUGGGCACCACAGGGCGAGGAUGCCAGCUAACGGCUGGUCGGCGAGCCCAGCGCCCCUGCUGCGCGCCUGCAGCGGGGGAAAGCGGCGAAGCCGAAGGACAGUGCCACAGAAACAAGACGGCCUGCGGCCGCGUAUGCCAGGCGUGGCAGGCGGCAGGUCAAGGUGAAACGGUGCGGUAAGAGCGCACCAGGUUCCCAGGAGACUGGGAGCGCUGGUAAACCCCAUCCGGUGCAAGACCCGACAGUGCGUGAGGGCGGCCCGCCCGUUUGCAGCGCCAGGAUGGUCGCUUGAGGCGUCUGGCGACAGGCGUCCCAGAGAGAUGGUCGUCCCUGCCCGCAGGGGCAGGACAGAACCCAGCUUAUCGUCUCCCGGC